rnacentral:rRNA from 1 species
UGCCAGCAGCCGCGGUAAGACGGAGGGGGCUAGCGUUGUUCAGAAUUACUGGGCGUAAAGCGUGUGUAGGCGGUUCGGAAAGAAAGAUGUGAGAUCCCAGGGCUCAACCUUGGAACUGCAUUUUUAACUGCCGAGCUAGAGUAUGUCAGAGGGGGGUAGAAUUCCACGUGUAGCAGUGAAAUGCGUAGAUAUGUGGAGGAAUACCGAUGGCGAAGGCAGCCCCCUGGGAUAAUACUGACGCUCAGACACGAAAGCGUGGGGAGCAAACAGGAUUAGAUA